GCUUCUCAAAUUGCUUCUUGCGCGGAUUCUCUGGAACACAGAAGGGGUGAAAGAAGAGGAGGAGCACCACUUUUUCAAUUUUCUGCCUCGUUUUCCGGAGGACCCAUCCAUUCGUCCCCACGGUUAAAUUGGUUGGAAAAGAG
ensembl:ncRNA K04G7.13 ncRNA